CUACGGGGUGCAGCAGUAAAGAAUCUUCCGCAAUGGGCGAAAGCCUGACGGAGCAACACUGCGUGGUGGAUGACGGCCUUCGGGUUGUAAACACCUUUUCUAGGGGAAGAAGUUCUGACGGUACCCUAGGAAUAAGCGACGGCUAAUUACGUGCCAGCAGCCGCGGUAAUACGUAAGUCGCAAGCGUUAUCCGAAAUCAUUGGGCGUAAAGCGUCCGUAGGCGUCUCGAUUAGUCUGAUGUAAAAUCUCUCCGCUCAACGGAGAGCUCGUAUUGGAAACUAUCGGGAUUGAGGUAUGCAGGGGCAGAUGGAAUUCCAGAAGUAGGGGUAAAAUCCGUAGAUCUCUGGAGGAACACCAAACGCGAAGGUAUUCUGCUGGGCAUUACCUGACGCUAAGGGACGAAAGCGUGGGGAGCAAAGGGGAUUAGAUACCCGGGUAGUC
rnacentral:rRNA from 1 species